UCUAAGACCUAUGGAGUCUAAGGAGAAGUUGGAGAAACAAGAGCACAAAGAAUCCAUCAUUCAAUCCCAAUUCAAGACGAAGGUUUGGAUUAUUUUGUUUUUUUAUUUACUUUAAACUAAAUUUUGAUGAAUUACUCCAUGUCUAUGGAGUAGUUCUCUUUAGGGUUUGAUUAAUUUGGUGUAUUGAUAUUUGUUUAUGGAUUAUAACUCUAGUUUAUGUAUUGAAUCAUUUUUGAUGUUUAAAUUGUUGCUAUAUUCACUUGUUCAUGUAAUCGACAGAGGCAUAACUUGUGAUAUUUUUGUAUUAUCUUUUGUUGGGAAAAUUCAUUAACUUUUCUUAGUAAUCGAAAGAGACUAGUUGAAUUGUUGAUUAACCUAGUAAGGAGAAUAAUCAAAAGACAUUUUUCUAAAGACCAAUCCAGUAUGAAUUCUUGCAUAUUUUCACUGAGCUUAAUUUAGUUCAUAUUGUGAGGUUGAAACUAUUUCUUACUUUCCUCUAUCUUUUUAUGGAUUUAAUUUAAAUACACAACAACUUGUUGUCUCUGUAACUACUUCCUUCACGCCGAUUUGUACUAGCCGCUGAGUCAAGUGCCGACCCAGUGUUCCAAUUUGACUUUUAUUCUUUCAAAUUUUUUUAGAACACAGAGAUAACUUGCAUUAAUAUUCUAGAGGUGAAAAUAACUCUUUUUUAUCUAAAAGAAAUUCGAGUGUAUUCUAAUCUAAUAAAUAAUUCACCUGGUUAAAAGGAUUUCAAAAUUUCUGUCCGUGCUUCAAAGAUCAUUUUUCAAAUCUUGCCCAGAUUGUAUUAGGGGUUUGGAUCUAUCGAUACAGAGAACUUUUGGGUUUUGCCAAAUUUGAAUUCCGUCCUAUUCUUCUUCUUUCGUGAUGAUUGGAUUGAUUGGUUUUGGGAUUGAAAAAAAUAAAAUCCCAAGGAAGUUUUAUUGCACUGCAAUUUUUCUAAGCAUUCAAGUACUCCUUGCCGAUCGCUUGCUCCAGCUUCAGCGAGAGUUCUAGGUUUUAUUCGUGGGAAUUGGUAAUUCCCCCUAUUUUCUUGGUUCCGUGGUUGUUUAUGUGUUUUGAAGGCAUCACUUUUCUGGCUGCUUGGAGGCGGUAGGGAGGUGCACGCGUAUGAGUAGUAGAGAAUCAACUAUAUGCCGGGUUUCGCAUCAUCGGGAGAUACCAAGUCGAAAGUUCCAGGUUUUAUUCACAGGAAUUGAUACCUCCCACCUCCUGUUUCUCUGUCUCCUAUGUUAAUUACUUUGUUGUCCUAGUAUUUCCUACUAGUCUAGUCAGUCUAGUAAUGGGAUUGUAUUUACUAUUUGCUCCCUUUGUUGUUCUAUGUGGUGUUUUUUCUUUUCAUUUUUAAACCUCUGUAGGUAUAGAAACUGUGGUUUGAAAUGACAGAGUAAAGGAAACAAGGUCUCCUGAAGGUUGAGAAUUGGAUCGUGAAAUAUAGGGAUGUUGAUGGGCAAGUCUGUAGAGCUGGCAAAGAAUCUCUAGAAGAUGAGGGUCACAAUAGCGUGUGUGCAAGAGACUAGAUGGGUAGGAUCGAAGGCGAGGAAUAUAGAUUGUUAUAAAUUGUGGUUCUCAGGAGUCGUGAAGGGCAAGAAUAGAGUGGGCAUUUUUGUGGAUAAGGAGCUUAGAGGGUUGGUGGUCGAGGUUAGAUGGGUGAAUGACAGACUGAUGGCGAUUAAGGUAGUAGUUGGAGGGAGCACUAUGAAUGUCACUAGCGCUUAUGCACCGCAAACGGGCUUGGAUUAGGAGGUCCAAAGGAGCUUUUGGGAGGCGCUAGAUGAGGUGGUGUGGGUAUUCCACCUACGGAGAAGCUAUUCAUAGGAGGAAAUUUAAAUGGUCAAAUUGGGUUGUCUGCUGGUGACUAUGAUGAGGUGCACGGUAGCUUCAGCUUUGGUGAUAGGAAUGGGGGUGCUACCUCACUAUUGGAUUUCGCUAGAUCUUUUGAGUUGCUGAUCGUGAACUCUAUGUUUCCAUAGAGAGAGGAGCAUUUGGUUACUUUAUGGAGUAUGGUGGCUAAGACUUAGGUUGACUAUCUCAUUAGGAGGUGUUAUAUGGGUUGUGCGAAGAUUUCAAGUUGAUCCCAAGGGAGAACCUCGCAACUCAACAUAGGCUACUGGUGAUGGAUUCAGUAUCUUGAUGAAGAGGAAGAAGUGGUUUGUACAGGGUCAGUCGAGGAUCAGGUGUGGAACUUUUUCUAAGGAUAAUGUGCGGGAGUUGGAGGGGCAGCUGAUGUCUAUGGGUGCCUGGAAGAGUGGUGGGGACACUAGCACUAUAUGGACGACGAUGGUGGACUGUAUAUGGGAGGCAUCAUGAAUGAUGUUAGGAGUUUCAAAAGGUUAUUCUAGUAGGCACCUAGGCAACUGCUGGUGGAAUGACGUGGUCCAAGGUAAAGUGGGAGCUACGAAAGUGGCUUACAUAAAAGUUAGUAGAGAGCACUGACAAGGAUCAGAGGAGAGCGAAUAGAGAAAGAUAUAAGCAGGCUAGGAAGGAGGUGAAAUUAGUGGUCACAGAGGCUAAGACUACUGCAUUUGGUCAGCUGUAUGAGGAACUUUGGGGCAAAGAUGGGGACAAGAAGUUAUUUCGAUUGGCCAAAGCGAGAGAAAAGAGGGCACGUGACUUGGAUCAAGUGAGGUGCAUCAAAGACGAGGAUGAUCGAGUACUGAUAGAACAGGCCCAGAUUAGGCAAAGAUGGCAGCCGUACUUUCAUAAACUUCUGAAUAAAGAGGUCGAUGGAAACAUCAUGUUAGGGAAAUUAGGGCAUUCUGAGAGUCAUCGCGACUUUAGGUAUUGUAGGCGCAUCAAGGUUGAGGAGGUUGUGGUGCGAUGGGUAAGUUGAGUCGGGGAAAAGCGAUCGGACCAGACGAGAUUCUUGUAGAGUUUUGGAGAUAUAUGGGUAGCAGGCUUAGGGUAGCUGACUGGGUUGUUUAAUGUUAUCUUCAGGACGAAGAGGAUGCCUGAUGAGUGGCGGUGGAGUACAAUGGUUCCGGUGUAUAAGAAAAAAUGUGAUAUCCAUAAUUGUAACAACUAUAGGGGUAUCAAGUUACUAAAUCAUACCAUGAAUGUUUGGGAGAGAGUGGUCGAAGGGAGGAUAAGGAUGGCGGUGUCUAUAUUGAAAAACUAGUUUGGUUUCAUGCCGGGUUGUUCUACUACGGAAGCUAUCCACCUUAUCAUGAGGUUGGUGGAACAAUAUAGGGAUAGGAAGAGGGAAUUGCAUAUGGUGUUUAUUGACAUAAAGGAGGCGUUUGACAAGGUUCCCAGGGAUGUCCUUUAGAGGUGUCUGGAGGUGAAAGGUGCGCCAGUGGCUUAUGUUAGAGCUAUGGCUCAGGUUAGAACUAUGGGAGGUCAAUCACAACCUUUUCUGGUGGUUACGGGGUUACAAAAAGGAUUUGCACUCAGCCCGUUCUUAUUUUCCCUGGUAAUGGACGCAUUAACACACCAUAUCCAAGGAGAGGUGCCAUGGUGUAUAUUAUUCGCUGAUGAUAUAGUCCUGAUUGAUGAGACACGAUGCGGCGUUAAUAGGAGACUGGAGGAAUAGAGGCAGGCCCUGGAGUCUAAAGGUUUCAAUUUAAGUAGGACUAAGUUAGAAUAUCUGGAAUGUAAAAUCAGCGACGUGACUGGGAAGAGGAUGUGGAAGUUAGGAUUGACUCACAGGUCAUCCUCACGAGAUAAAGCUUUUUAAUACUUAGGGUCAAUUAUCCAGGGAGAUGGGGAUCGAUGGAGAUGUUACGCACUGUAUUGCGGUGGGAAGUGAUGAAAUUGAGGUUAGCGGCUAGAGUCUUGUGUGACAAAAAUGUGCCACCGAAACUCAAAGGUAAGUUCUAUAUCAGACCGGCCAUAUUGUACAGGGUUGAGUGUUGGCUAGUCAAGAAUUCACAUAUCAAGAAGAUGAAAGUAGUAGAAAUGAUAAUGUUGAGAUGGAUGAGUGGGCAAACUAGUCUGGAUAAGAUUAGAAAUAAAGAUAUUUGGAGGGUGGGCGUGGCUUCGGCGGAUGACAUGAUGCGGUAAGCGUGACUUAGAUAGUCCGGACACGUGCAGAGGCGAAGCCUAGAUGCCCUGGUUAGGAGGUGUGAAUGGUUGGCUUUGGCAGACACAAGAUGAGGUAAAUGGAGGCCUAUGAAUUAUUGGCACGAUGUGAUCAAACAUGACAUGGAUCAACUCCAGAUUUCCGAGGACAUGGUUGUUUUGUUUGAAGGUGUGGAGGUCGAGCAUUAGGGUUGUUGGUUAAAAGAUAGCCGAGCAGUUUUCCUCUUUUUCCCCGUUUUUUGUUUUCCUCUUUUUCCCCGUUUUUCUCUUUGUAUCGACGAGUAUGAUAGUGUUCUGUUUAGAACUGCUAGCAAUUCAUAUUGUGUUUCAUACUUUUGCAUAACAUUUGUGUUAGUGCUUUUAUAUUUAUUUGCUGUCUCUCAUGCUAUUGAUAUUAUUUUUCAGGUUUCGUUGUCACAAAUUGAUUGUCUCUAAGCUGAGGGUCUCCGAAAAAUAGCCUCUCAACCCCCUUUGGGAUAUGGGUAAGGUCUUUAUACACUCUACCCUCCCUAGAGCCCAUUAGUGACAUUUUACUGGGUUGUGUUUUGUUGUUGUUGUUGUUGUUGUUGUUGUUGUUGUGAGGUUGAAACUUAAUCAAGAGAAGAGUUCCCGCUGAAUGUGUGAACAAAUAAUUAAGCGAAUUCGAUAAAGUCACUUAACAUUAGAAGUGAAUUAUCUAGAGUUAGGUCCCAAAUAUUUGUUUUACAUCUAUCCUAUCAAUCCAAUUUUAUCCCAUUGAUAUCUUACCUUACUCAUUACUUGCGCCAAUUGUCAUUAGCUAAUAUGUUACACUCUUAUUUUAGUUUAAAUCACAUAAAUCUCAACCAUUGAUCAUUUUGAAUAGCUAUCUAGCUACAAACUACGAUAAUGACUAUUUAACUCUAAUCCAUGUGGAUACAAUAUUAUAUUUACUAUAUUCGACUAGGAAACAUAUUUAAGUGUGCAUUUUGCGCUUGUCACCGAUCCAGAUAUAACAUGUUACUGCGUGCAACCCGAUCCAAGUAUGACAUUGUUGCAGCGUGCAACCCGAUCCACAUAACAUACCCGUAGCGGCAUGCCACCCGAUCUAAACAAUAUACUCGUGACGGUGUUCCACCCGAUCCACUCAUAACAAUCAAUAAGGAAACCAUCAAGCCGAAAUGAUUAUACUUACGAAAUUCCCAAAUAGUGAUCACAAGCAUGCCAGGUGCAUAAUACAACCCUAGGGAGGCAGAUAGCGUCAUAUGCUACAAAAACCUAAGCACGACUAACGUGCAAUAAAUGACCUGCAUCUCGAGAGCCAUCUUGCUCAUAUAACACCACAAGCUACACAUGAUCACAACACGUGCGAAUAAUGAAGCCGUCUUACAACCCACCCGACACAAUAGAGUAUUACAUGGAAUAGGUACUAACGGGAAUAACAUCUAUUGCUCGAAGACUCCUCGGUAAGAAAUUCUAUGCCAAAUAAACACAUUUGACCUGGCGUAGAGCAUACAUUCACAUUCGACCCACCAACAAACCUCAAGCCGAUUCUGAUCAUUUCAUACUAGGCCAAAAACUUUGCAAGGUUCCACAAUGGCCUUAUUCAUGAUGACACAAGCAUACGUCUUAUUCGGAGAAACAUUCCACAGUCCAUACUCCACUAACAAAGGAAUAAAACGCCUUUCCAACAUAAACUCUCACAUUAGUGAUAGUACUAGAAUCUCCAUACUUAGUUUCAAUACUUUAAUAAUAAUGUGACUAACAUGUCACACUUAUGCAAUUAUCCCAUGGGAUACGCUCCCACGACCUUCCGCACUGGGUAGCAAAGUUUGCACCUCCAUACCACCAACUCUACUAAUUUUGUAAAGCAAAUCACGAAUUCGCGACUCAAUACACAAGGCCUCUUACACAGAAUGUCAUUAUCUGGUGGCACCAAAGAGAAUACCAACUUACUUGAACAUCUAAAUUUCGUCCUACUCAUCCGAGCUCGUGACCUUCUUGUCGACACUGAACCGUAACCUUGAUCCUAAACUUUCAAAUUCCCAUGAUACUCAGUGCACCUAUCAUGCUUCUAUAUGAGAGUAUAUGUAAUACCUGAACCACCAAUAGAAUAAACACUUCACCGCCUAGAACCCCUUUCACUCAACACAUUUCAGGGGAACGAUGCCAAUACACAACCGAAUUCCCAUAACCAUAGAAAUGCAAACCUUAAGUCAUGGUCUAAACCACCAUAACUCUUUCGGGAUCUAUUUACACAUAGAAGGACAUUAUGAUCAAAUACCUCCAAACAAAUUAAGUCACUCGUACAACCACAAACCAUAUGUAUAACUUCACAUGGGGAAGGAACUGAUCAUUACCUCAUUCAUGCUCAUUCAACCAUUACUAACCGACCCAACAUCUUCCAAUUUAUUCUUGACUUGACUUAGAAUUAAUAAUAUCUCCAUUCAAAACAUAACGAAAUCCAACAACAUUCAUAUCGAGUGACCUAAUCCAUGAGACCACAUCGUCUUAAUACUCAUGAAUCAUCUUAUACCCUUCUCAUGCAUAUAGUAGUGCCUCCAACUGGUACACCCAUUCUGAAAGAACUUCUAUGAAUCCCAAGUUGUUUCCUCCCAUUCCUCUAACAAUACACCGUCUACCCGAUGAUAACCUAAAAUAUUCCAAGUCCCUGUUGUCAUCCACUGUGAAAACUUCCUCUUUGACAACACAAUGGAUCCAAAAUCCUUAGGCACUACACUUAAAUAUUUGAACCCAUUAGGACUAUUGUUAGGAGUCACCUACUCUGACCUGAUCCAGAAAUAGCCAAAUUUCAACGCUCUGCUAGCACAUUAACACCCUCUCAUGUUAUUUAUGCUUCCUACGUAGCUUUUCAUUGAUAAAUACAUAUGGUUGGUAAGGAAGAGUGUAAACCACGAAGGGUGAUACCAUGUCAUAUUAUUUGAGAGUAAAAGCACGAAGGGUGAUGACGUGCCAUAUUAUUUGAGAGUAAAAGCACGAAUGGUGAUGCCGUGCCAUAUCAUUUGAGAGUAAAAGCACGAAGAGCGAUGUCGUGCCAUGCUAUGUGAGUGCAAAGCACUAGGGGUGAGGUCGUGCCACAUUAAGUGAGUAUAAAGUACGAAGGGUGAUACCGUACCAUUUCGCUUGAGAGUAAAAGCACGAAGGGUGAUGCUGUGCCAUUUCAUUUAUAUUAUCAUGCUUUUAUAUUAUCACAAAUUCAUGGUAUGAUAAGUGUUUCUAUGCAGGCGAGGUCGAGGAACAUGCAUUAUAUUGUGAUAUCUUUUCCUUGUGUAUACAUUCAUGCCUUUACAUCGAGCUGUUAUUGCCGUACUUAUGGUUCUUAUAUGACUCGUCAUUAUUGCCCUAUCCUUUUCCCCUAUCUAAAUAUGAUGCCCAUGUCUUCUACUUUCUUGAAUUACAAAUACCAUGCCUACUUCCUGCUGUUAUAAUUACAUCCAUGUAGUAUCUAUUUUGUUUCACGUUAGUACAAGCUUUCUACCAUGUUAGUUAUUCCUGCCUCUACUUGAUAACUUAUAAGAUCACAUGUUCCCUUCUUAGUUGUUAUAUCUACAUCUAGGCCUUCACCAUGCUAGUUAGUUGAAUUUUAUAUUCCUUUUUCCUAAUUGCUGUCAUUACUCCUAUACCUUCCGCCUAGUCUAUUACUAUUGCCCAUAUGUAUAUCCUUGUUCAUUUUUACUACUUGCAUAUUUCCUACUUUGUCAUUACAAUUAUCAGCAUUUCUUCCAUUCAGUUGGUACCUUUACAUGCAUAUUUGGUGAGGAAGAGAUAAAUACACGAAGGGUGUUGCCGUACAAUUGACGUGAUAUCUGAGCACAUUCCUUAUGCUAUGAAAUUUAUGGAGUGACUAUCGCGGUUUAUCGGUUUUCGCACUAAGGAAAAGAUGGUCAAGAUAUUGGAAAAUGUUAAAUUGUGAUCUCUUCUAGUAAUCAAUUAUUACUUUGCAUAUUCUUUAUGUGUUCUCUCCUCUGUUAUAUUGUAAUAUAGUUCUAUUGCUAGUUUACAGUGCAAAUUUUAUCACUGAGUAACUUUUAACUAAAAAGCCUCAUCACUACACUGACGAGAUUAGACAAGAUACUUACUGGGUACAUGGGGUCGGUUGUACUCAUACUAUUCUUCUGCACCUUGUGUGCAGAUUUUGGAACAGAACUACUAGUGAUGUCAGAAGCUGACUCUGAAGAUGUUCGUGCAUUUUAGAAUAUAGAUUCCACUUGUUAUAUGUAGCUUUAGAUUCUGCUAAUCUUUUUAUGUAACUUUCAAAUGAAUAUGUAUUCGUUUGUACUAGCUUUCUAAAUUUUAAAUUCGUAGAAGCUCUUGAUUCGUACUGUCAGUCAUUGGAUUAAUAUAUGAAUAUUCAGAUAAUU
rnacentral:lncRNA from 1 species